CCCUUAGAUGUCCUGGGCUGCACGCGCGCUACACUGAUGUGUCCAGUAAGCACCUAACCUCUUCCGAAAGGAACGGGUAACCUUUGCAAUGCACAUCGUGAUGGGGAUAGAUUAUUGCAAUUAUUAGUCUUGAACGAGGAAUUCCUAGUAAGCACAAGUCAUCAGCUUGUGUUGAUUACGUCCCUGCCCUUUGUACACACCGCCCGUCGCUCCUACCGAUUGAAUGUUCCGGUGAGCUCUUCGGACUGCGCGGUCUGCAGUUUCUGCGUUCCGUGCGGAAAGUUGCGCAAACCUUAACAUUUAGAGGAAGGAGAAGUCGUAACA
rnacentral:rRNA from 1 species